GAAUAUAAGACUACUGGCUGGCCCAUGGAGAGCAAACGUUUUCCUCUGCUGCGAUGCUGUCUUUGACAUUGCCCUGGUGCCUGCUUCCGACCCCCAGGAGAAAGUGCUGUAUAAAGAGGUUCACCUAAUUAACACCCACUGGACUGCAAACUCGACAAGGCAAGGCCAGACUGCAUGUUUUUGCACUCCCUUCCACCCCUACCCUGCUGGAAUUCUUCUACCUACCAUGAAGUAUGACCCACAGUCCAACCCAACAAAGAUCUGCUGAUGGAAGAAACGGGGCAAUGCCUGUACAUGGGGCCUUCAGGUCCGGCUGGAACAAGGCGGCUUCCCUGUUUUACUCUGCUGUGGCCUGUUUGUUUAGGUGGCAGGGGCUUGGACAAUGGGCGUCCAUGCCGAGAUACAAUGGAGCUGUCAAUUAAGAUGCCCCGCCUUCCCCUGGCAGAGGGUCAGAUGCUCUGCCCUGGGAAUUUGAAUGAAUCCCUCAGCCGGCCCAGCUACUCACUGCUCUGGUCCCAUCUGACCCAGGUGGUCUCACCAUUCUCCCCCACCUUCUGCCUUCUAAUAAAUUCCUUUCGUGCCUGAUAGUUUUGCAGAGCUGGCUUCUGCUGCAUGACACUAAAGAACCCUGAUGGAUACAUGU
rnacentral:lncRNA from 10 species